AACGAACGCUGGCGGCAGGCCUAACACAUGCAAGUCGAACGAAGUCUUCGGACUUAGUGGCGCACGGGUGAGUAACACGUGGGAAUAUACCUUACGCUGGGGGAUAACAUCGGGAAACUGAUGCUAAUACCGCAUACGCCCUUCGGGGGAAAGAUUUAUCGGCGAAAGAUUAGCCCGCGUCCGAUUAGCUAGUUGGUGAGGUAAUGGCUCACCAAGGCUCCGAUCGGUAGCUGGUCUGAGAGGAUGACCAGCCACACUGGGACUGAGACACGGCCCAGACUCCUACGGGAGGCAGCAGUGGGGAAUAUUGGACAAUGGGCGCAAGCCUGAUCCAGCCAUGCCGCGUGAGUGAUGAAGGCCUUAGGGUUGUAAAGCUCUUUCACCCACGACGAUGAUGACGGUAGUGUGAGAAGAAGCCCCGGCUAACUACGUG
rnacentral:rRNA from 1 species